AGUGCCCGACUUCACUAAUGCUCUUAUGGCUGAAUGGAAGCAAGUCCCCGCAGCAAUGUUCCAACAUCUAGUGGAAAGCCUCCCCAAAAGAGCGGCGGCUGUUGUAGCAGGGGGGACCAGCACCAUAUUAAUGCACAUGAUUUUGGAAUGAGAUGUUUGACGAGCAGGUCAUACUUCGUCAUGUAGUGUAGUUUGUCAUAAGAAGGGGACAGUAGUUGUAUUCCUUGACUGUCUGUGGUGUAACUCCUUCCAAACCCACCUACCAAGAGGUGCUGACUGAUGUGGAGGAGAGGAGCCACAAAAGGCAACAGGAAUACAACACGUUCUGCCAGCAGACCAAACAGGAGAUAGCUGACAUCCACAGAGAUCGACUGAUUCAUAACAUGAAACUCAACAGGAUGAAGAAAGAGAUUUUCAGUGACCGCAUGGAGGUGAAGAUCGCCAGCGAGGGAAUCAUGA